AUGGAGUAGCUGAUACCUUAAGAGGUUCACAGCUAUUCACUGAGUCCAUCCUGUCAAGGCUUCACAGGGCACAGCAGUUUAGUCUAUCCUGCCAUGGAGGUUUGUUAGGGAUGGUUUUCACCCACAUUUUACGAUGAAUAUUUAGAGGAUCAUGUGCCGCAAGCCACGACUCCAUCCAGCAGAGCCAAGGAAAGAUGACACAGACACCAAGGGAGACCGUUCUAAUCUGAGCACUAGCCAGCCUUUUCCAUCUGCAUUGCCUCCAUUUGUUCAUCAAGAACCAACCAGCAAAUUAGAACAUCAUUCCUCCAGUCUCAGAAUGUUGAGAGUAUCUCGUGACGCUCUGCCAGCAACUCUCAGACAUUUAACAGCAUCUUACUUUGUAGCCCUGGAUGGCAUUGGAACUUGCUGGACUAGGCUGGCCUGAAACUCAGAGAAGUCCGCCUGUCUCUGUCUCCGAAGUGCUGGGGUUAAAGCAUGUGUCACCACACCCAGCCCCUCUUCUUAAAUCCCCAACCUGCCUCUACCACUUGCCACCUCCCUCAUCAGAUAAUACUGCUUUCUACCUCAAAAUUGACCUCCUAAGUUCUUCUCUACAAGAAUAUUUGCACUCAUGCUUAUCCUUUUGAGCUUAAUUAAUUCUUUUUUUCUUCAAGUCAUAAAAAAUGCUCCUAUAAUAGAAGUGAGGGAAUUUCCUAUCAUCUGAAUGAUGUGUCUCCUUAAAAUUUUUGUGUUGGAAUCCUUACUCUUUGUGAUGACAUCAGGAGAUGGAGCCUUUCAUGUUAGUUAUAAAAAGUACCUCAAAGUGAUCCCUCCAACCAUGUGAACACAGCAUGAUGGGCACUGUCUAUGCAUAAGAGGCUCUUGACAAAUCCUUAUUCUACAGGCACCUUCAUCUAAGACUUUGCUGUUUCCUUUCUGUUGUGGGGACAUGAAUUAUAAGCUCUUUAAAUUCUGGACUAGAAAGGGCCUUUUUUUUAUUAAGUAUUUGUAGAGAUAAUACCACUGAACUAGAGCUUUGGAAGAAAAGAAAAAGAAUAUAUUUAGAAUGAAAAUAGAGAUUAUCUGUUGUCAGACCCUGUCUGGCCAGCUAACUCCAAGGAUUCACUAGUCUCUCCUUCCUCAGUGCAUGUGGAUGUCAGAGAACAGCUUUUGAAUGUUACUUCUCUCCUUCCACUGAGGAUUCUAGGGAUUGAACUCAGGUUGCCAGGCUUGCAUGGCAUGCACUCUUACCACUGACCCUUUGUUCAUAUUCUAUGCAAAUAGAAAUAAUUUGACCUUUUUGAUUUGUAUCCCUUUUAUUUCUCUUAUUGCUCUAGCUAAGACUUCAAGAAAUGUAUUGAAUCAGAGAGGAAAGAAUAGAUACUCUUAUGCUUUUUUCCCCCCAUCUAGAGGAAAUGUUGGCUUCUGUAUAGCCUUCAUUAUAUUGAGAUGUUUCUUCUAUUCCUUCUUUUCUCCAGUUGGGUAGAAUGUGCUAUAGAUGUCUCUUAAAGUACAUUUGAUGUUUUGUUUAUUUAACUGCUUUUUUUCCCCUGAUGACUUCACUAUUGCUGAGAGUUAAGUAACUCAUUACUGUUGUGUUGAGUUGUUAUUGUGUGAGAGUUACUAUAUAACUGUAUGUAUUAAUUCCUAUGAUUUUGGGGGGUUUUGGGGGGGUAAAGUUUGGGACUUAAUAACCCUCAUUUUCUUAAUCUACUUAUCUAGCAGAAUUAAAUUUUUUUCUAUGACCU